rnacentral:lncRNA from 1 species
GUUCUCACAAGAUAAAGGUCAGAAUAAAUGGCCUGUGUGUAGAAAAGACAGCAAUUGUCCACCAGCAUGGACAAUAAAUUGCUGUGGAAUGAAUGCAUGGGGACAUAUGCUAGGCUGGGUUGACAUGGAAGCACGGUUUUUGUUUUGUAUGUGGAAUACCAUAACCAUAUUAGCCUCAGAAUGAUGGUUGGUUUUCUUCUUGGCAUUGACAGUAGAGGCUUUUAGCUGAGAGAUUUCUUUAUAGAUCUGGGCAAAUAUUGUCUGUGACUGUCUUGGAUUUGUUUUAUUGUUCUCAUGCCAAGGACAUAGAAGAAGGAAGUUAUUGUUCUUUACCUGCUUGCCCUUGCCU